CUAUUGCACCAGAAGUAGCUAGCUUAACCUUCGGGAGGGCGCCGACCACGGUGUGGUCAAUGACUGGGGUGAAGUCGUAACAAGGUAGCAGUAGGUGAACCUGCAGAAGGAUCA
rnacentral:rRNA from 1 species